rnacentral:rRNA from 1 species
AUGCUUGACAAGAAACAUAAGUGUUUCAUUCCAUGCCAACUCUUCUUCCUGUUCAUUUGCCUCAACCGAGCACCCUUCACCAUUGCUAAUGACCAGUUUGUCUACUCCGGCUUCGCCCAAGCUAACCUCAGCCUUGAUGGAGCUGCCACAAUCACACCAGAUGGGCUCCUUGAACUAACAAAUGGCACCUUUAACCUGAAAGGCCAUGCUCUAUACCCAACUCCUCUACACUUCCGCAUGUCGCCUAGUGGUUAUGCACAGUCUUUUUCUAUCAUCUUCGUCUUCAGCAUCCUCUCCGCCUACCCUGACAAGAGUGCUGAUGUGAAGCUUGACACCAAUGAAAAUAGUGAGUUCCAGGACAUCAAUGGCAACCAUGUUGGUAUCAACAUGAAUAGUCUCCACUCUGUGCAAUCCCAUGAUGCUAGCUUCUUUGACGACAAAACUGGUAUGUUCAAGAACUUGAGCCUCAUUAGCCGUGAGAUGAUGCAGGUGUGGGUAGAGUAUGACGGAGGAGCUACAAAGGUCGAUGUAACUUUGGCUCCCAUCAAAAUGGCCAAGCCUGCAAGACCAUUACUGUUAACCAUCUAUGAUCUCUCAACAGUUUUCACAGACACGACAUACAUUGGCUUCUCGUCCGCAACUGGAGUCAUCAACUGA